rnacentral:lncRNA from 1 species
CUGCAUAAAAUGCCCGAAGUCCUUGGACCCAAAUAUAAGAAUUUUGCAAGAUUUCCUUCUGAAGAGUCAACUCUUCUGCUCACUACACAUAUGGGUGCAAUCAAUUGAGGUCUCAAGAUGGUCAACAUGGAUAGUAAUAAGAGCUUCCUUUGUUUGGUUAUCUCUCAUGGGUUAUGCCCUGGUAUAUGAACUUUGAGGACCGUGUCCCACAGGCUCUUCAUAACAACUCUUCCAGGAAGAAAGGGGAUAGACCAUCGGGCUAUCCAUCAGGCUGUGAGCUGAAAUGGUGUGACAAUGUAGAAUCCACAAAUGGCAAGCCACCAAGCAGGAAUCCAACACCUUGCCAACAUAUCCCUAUGUCCCUCCAUGAAGCACUUGAGGAGUAUUCAAAAGGUACUUUGGCUGCUGCCAAAGUUGUUGAAGGAACAAAUCAAGGACACAAGGUUGAGAGAUGCAAUGUGGCAGAUUUCAAACAGGAGAGCUGCUGA